rnacentral:sRNA from 1 species
GCUCUCCUUGCCAACAAUCUCCUCAGCAGUAGAACAUGACGUCCUUGACGUUCUCCUUGAUCUUGGGAAGCUGGCGCACCUCCACAGGGCCCUCUCGCGCCACAGCCUGCCCGCUGCUGCCAGGGGUCGAGCCACCAUCCGAACUCUCUCCUUCCACGUAGUAGCGAGCGCGGAAUGCAGCAAGAUGAGCAUAGUAGGCCGGGAGCUAAGCAACUAAGCAGAAACAGAGAAAUGAACUUACGUAUAGCAAAGAUUGUUGGUCAGGGACUGAAGUGCAUCGGCUGUAAAAUGGUUCUCAUCGUAAAGGACAUGGUAAUGACAUGGGUUUUACCUGUAUGCCAGCAUGGCUACACAGGUAGAAAUCGAACUCUGUAGGAUGGCAAAUCUGACGGUCCACGACAAAACUGACCAGGAAGGAUGUUUCCGCUCUUGUCAGUCAUGUCUCGCCUCCCAUGAACCUCUGGGAAAAGCCUUGUGUGAUGCCUUUUCUGAACUACUACAAAUGUGACAGGUGGUAGAUAUCCCUCCUCCAAAGAUGCACAAGCCUUGCAAUG